CGGGGGCGAAGGCGGUUGGGAGGAGAAGUCGCUCGAGCGGGGAAGCGGCGGCCGUUAGGAAAAUGGCGCCGUGCGGCCCGGGGCAGACCCCCUGUCACUGGUCACCGCCGCCUUCCUGGUGCAGCUGCUGUGUCACGGCCACACCGGCCGGCUGUACAGCAGGCAGGAGCCGGUGACCAUUCUGGAGGCGGAUGGGGUUAAGGGCCUGUUUGGGAACUGGUCGGCCGCCUGGGUGGUGGAGUUCUACUGGUCGUGGGGCGGCCCCUGUGUCAACUAUGGGGCCACCUGGAAGGUACUGGGCCCGGGAGGUGAAAGAAAAAGGGUGAGAACUACUUUUGAUGGACCAAUUAAGAGUACUGGAGGACCGGAAGGUGAUCCCCUAUUGUCUUAAUGUGGAAGGCGGACCAAGAAGCUCCUGCUCCUCGCUCUCAAGAUUGAGUUUCACCCCAGACUGCAACUUCCUUUCUCUAGCCACCGGAACUGUACUCAGUACCCAGAAAGUGGCCUCACCAACAUCCUGUACAACAUGAUGUCUGAACUCCUAUACUCGAUGAUGUGAAUAGUGAAGGCAAUGGUGCUAAAUCCCUUCUUUACCAUCCAUGGGGGUGAGGGAAGGAAGCAGUGUGUGCUGGAGCCAAGGUGGAGGAGGAACAGAAGAUGCAAAUCCAGGUUGGAGCUGCAAUGAGAAGUAUUGCACGUGCUGUACUUGUACUGGUUGCAUUUAUUUGUGGGACUCGAAGCAUUUUAAAAAUAAAAACAGAAAAGAUUUCAA